CGAGCGCCGCCCUGUCCCACCCUCCGGCCAGGUGUCCCACCCGGUACCUUGUGUCCAGCGCUCCCCGCUGCCCAGAGUGGCCGCCAUAUCCGUUCCUAGUCAGGUCCGCCGAGCCUCCCCCGAGCCCGAAGCUGAAAGAGAAGGGGGCGCAGAGCGCGGGGCACGCUGGUCAGUGUAGUCCAGCCCAUAUGGGACUGCAACUCCCGGCAGGCUCUGCGCGCGAGCAUUCAGCGACGCUGUGAGGUAACGGGGCUAGGCCCUUCGAGGGGCGACGUGGGGAGUUGCCUUGACGCUGGCUGGCAGCUGCGCGGUUACUGGCUCGUCCUCGUGUGCGGAGUGGGGUAGUGGCGUCUGCCCUGCCCACCCCUGGGAGCGGCCGAGGAGGUGCGGCUGUGCCCGCGAGGUGGACACCGCACGGCUGCUGGUCCCCUCAGGGCUGUCCGUUUGAAAUGUACGCCGGUGGCUGGUCUGUGCAAAGCCUGUGCUAGGCCCUGGGGAGUCAGAGAUGAGUUUUGGGGAAUGCCCAACUCGUCUCUGGGGAACUUAAAAGCCAAGAAAAAUACGAGAGUGGUUUACGGGGUUCGAGCGCCGUCCGGAAACGCCUCUCCUCCCUCAGUUCCUCAGAGAGAGAAGAGGGAAGUUCCUGAGGCCACACUCGAGGCCAUCUUUUCCUCAGCCCAUUCCUUUCUUCUUAAGGACCGGGCUGUAAAAAGGAAAUGAGGAACUCUUCCUGUCCUCCCUGGGUUUUCACGGAGUCCAGCAAAGAAUAAAAGCGACUCUUCAUGGGCGGCAGAAUCACGGAUUGCUUGACAUUACUUGGCAUGUUUUGCUCCUGGAAUAGCAGAAAAAAUGGUUCGGCUCUGCAACCUUCUCGGAUAUUGCCGUGCAAAUGUGCCCUUCAGCUUGUUUAGACUUCAGCUAAGGGUUCUGAAGAUGUUUUCCCUCUGACUGCAUCACAGGAGCCUAGAACUCCAAAUCUCCACACUGAGAAUUCUUCUGUGCCAGUUUUUGCUUCAGCUCCCCAACCAGUCGGCAAGAAUAAUUUUCCACUGUCAAACUUAAUCUCCGCUGUGGCCUAAAAGGGGAUGAUACAGAGUUUCCAGGGGGAAAGCAGCCAGCAGAAAGAGUGCAAGAACAAUGGGGAAGGAAGUGAGGAAGAGGAACUGGGAUCUUCAAGGCAGUUUUCAAAGAGGAGGAGGAAGGUGUCCAAAGAGGUUCAAACAGGAAAGAAUGGUAGACAUCCCAAAUCCACAAGGAGCCUGACUUUGGGAAAUUGUGCCACAACUAGGCCAAGGAAGCCUGCAGCCAUCUUUCUUCUGCUUAAUCAUUUUACCAAGUCCUAGCUCAGAUUUCUAUCCAUUUUCAUCACUAACUCUAAAAACUUUAUUUAUUUACUUAUUUGAAAGGCAGAACAACAGAGAGACAUCUUCCAUCCUCUGGUUCAUUCCCCAAAUGGCUGUAACAGCCCUGUCUGGGCCAGGCUGUACGGGAGCCAAGGACUCCAUCUGGGUCUCCCAAUGGGGGCAGGAACUCAAGUGCUUGAGCCAUCAUCCCCUGUUGCCCAGGUCAUUAGCAGGGAGCAGGAUUGGAAGCAGACUAGGAAGGUCUUGAACAGAUGUUCCAAUAUGGGAUGCAGGUGCCCCAAGCCAUGGCUUAACCCCCUGCACCACAACACCUUCCUCUCCACUAACUUUUAAAGAUACUUGCUGACGUGUAGUGGACUUUUGCUGGUAAUACUGAGGUUUGCUAUGUGCUCUGUGUGCUUGAGAUGGUUCCUUGUUCUUCCCUGAAAGAAGGAUACUGGAUAAAAAAUCCCUCUGUCCGUGUGUCCUGUGGGCCUGAGCUGGUUUAUUGGUUGUCCUUCCAUAGGAUGGAGGAAGAAAUAAAAGAAGACUGUACAGCAAGUGCCCCAUCCUGCCUCGUGUGUCUGCUUUAGGACCAUGUAGCCCCGCAUGAGAAGGAGGAAGACUCCUUGUAAGCAGCCACCAUCCUGUUGUCUAGACAGCACGGAAGAGACGUGAUCUCAGGGAAGCUGCAGAGGCUGCAGGCUGCACUCGGAUAUCCUGGCAGAGAUCCAAGGUUUCUUGGUGAGAACUCCUGGGAACAAGAGCUGUGAGGAAUAAGAGAAGUGGAAUCGGUCAGGGGAAGAAAUGGAGACAAUGGGUCCAGGUCUUCACCCUCACCCCCACCCCAUCAGCAGUUGUUGCCUGGUUUUGAGCCCCCCACAGCUCAUACUCCCAGCAGCAGGGAAACAAGUGUUUUGGACCCACAGCGGGGCCUGGAUGGUGGUACUGCGGAUGGUCUGCUACAAUUGCUCGCUAGGACUUGGACUUCUGACGAGUCUCCGAAUUUUGAUUGCAUUUUAUCUAUUAGACACCUCUGGAGGGAGACAGAGCCAGGUAGGGAUCAUCUUCCCUGGGACUACUCCCCUGUGGGACUACACAGGGAAAUGGAAGUCCAGACAAUGUCAAGGACUUGCACUGGAGUGACCUCUCAAUAGUUUGUGUUUUUUCUUACAUCUAGAGUUUAAGAACUGGAAAAGAUACUGGAAACCAAAUAGUCCAGCCACCUCACUUUAAAAGUAAGAAACCUGGGGUCAGCACUGUGGUGUAGCUGCUAUGCAGUGCCAGCACCUGCUAUGGGCACCUGUUUGAGUCCUGGCUACUCCACUUCCAAUCCAGGUCCCUCCUAAUGUGUCUGGGAAAGCAGCAGAAGAUGGCAUAAGUGCUGGGCCCCUGCCACCCACAUUGGAGACCCAGAAGAAGCUCAUGGCUUCUGGUUUCACCUUGACCCAAACCUGUAGGUCUCUCCCUCUCUCACUAUGCCUUUCAAAUAAACAAAUGUAUUUUGAUUUUUAAGUGUUGAAUCUGUGGGGAUUUUUUAAAAAUAAGGAAUGAGGUUUGGAGAAA